rnacentral:rRNA from 1 species
UGAACGCUGGCGGCAGGCCUACCACAUGCAAGUCGACCGGUAACAGGAAGAAGCUUGCUUCUUUGCUGACGAGUGGCGGACGGGUGAGUAAUGUCUGGGAAACUGCCUGAUGGAGGGGGAUAACUACUGGAAACGGUAGCUAAUACCGCAUAACGUCGCAAGACCAAAGAGGGGGACCUUCGGGCCUCUUGCCAUCGGAUGUGCCCAGAUGGGAUUAGCUAGUAGGUGGGGUAACGGCUCACCUAGGCGACGAUCCCUAGCUGGUCUGAGAGGAUGACCAGCCACACUGGAACUGAGACACGGUCCAGACUCCUACGGGAGGCAGCAGUGGGGAAUAUUGCACAAUGGGCGCAAGCCUGGUGCAGCCAUGCCGCGUGUAUGAAGAAGGCCUUCGGGUUGUAAAGUACUUUCAGCGGGGAGGAAGGGAGUAAAGUUAAUACCUUUGCUCAUUGACGUUACCCGCAGAAGAAGCACCGGCUAACUCCGUG